UGUGUUUUCGAAUUGUGGAUCUAGACACCG
rnacentral:piRNA from 1 species